rnacentral:rRNA from 1 species
UCCUUCUGACAGUAGAUCUGACAGUCUCGUGUCCCCCUUCCCAUGGCGUUCGGCGUUGCUGCGAUUCUUGGCCAGAUAACCAUUUUCCCUUCAAUCGGUCUGGAUCUGGGAUCUGAAAGGUACCAGCUUCAGUAAGACCUGAAGCAAGCUAAGGCAAGCAACUUGAUUCACGAAGGUAGACUGUUUUGCUGGUGCCUUCCAUUGAUCUGAUCAGCUUAUAGUUCCACUUUCAUACAACAAAGGCUUCCUUGCCUUCAGUUUGCUAAGCUUCCAUAAAGAUAUCGGGAUACUGAAGAGCACAAUUAAAGAGCAAGAAGAUGGAGUUGGUGGUAGGUGCCUCGAAUGCUACCAUGAGGUCCCUCCUGGGCAAGCUGGGGGGCCUUCUAGCCCAGGAGUAUGCUCUGGUCCGUGGAGUCCGCCGUGAUGUUCAGUACAUCAAUGAUGAGCUUACAAGCAUGCAGGCCUUCCUCCGUGACCUGAGCACUGCCCUGGAUGACCAUGACAACCGGAUGAAGGACUGGAUGAAGCAGAUCCGUGACAUGGGCUAUGACAUUGAAGAUUGCAUUGAUGACUUUGCCCACCGCAUCCCCCGUGAUCCCAGCAGUGAUGUUAAAUGCUUAUUCAUCAGAACAAGGUUCUAUGAACUCCGGAUGUGGUGGCCUCGUCGUGACAUUGCGUCCAAGAUUGCUGACCUCAAGGUGCGGGCACAACAGAUUGGUGAGCGGCGUAGAAGAUAUGGGGUGCACAACCCAAGGAACCGUAAGAAUGGCUCUGGAGUUAGCGCUGCAACAUACGAGGUUGCUGAGCAUCAGCUCACAGAGCGUCAGCUCAUUGGUACAAAGGAGCCCGUGGGGAUGACGGCUGACAUGAAGAAGCUUGAGGAUUGGUUAGCCAAAUCUGAUAAAAGUUGUUAUGAGGAGCGAGCUGUUCUGUCCAUAGUCGGAUUCGGCGGCGUGGGAAAGACCACUAUUGCAAUGGCUUUGUACCAAGAGGUCAGGGAUAAAUUUGAUUAUCGGGCAUCAGUCACCGUAUCUCAAAACUAUGAUGAAGAUGCAGUCCUCAUGAUGAUUCUAAAACAAGUCAAGCCAAAGGAGAGUGAUCACGAGAACCAACACAAGACUGGCAGCUCUGAUACAAAACAGAUUAAAUUUGGAAUUAGCCACGAUAAACUCGUGAAAGAACUACAAGAUCAUCUGGCUGAAAAAAGGUAUCUCCUCUUGAUUGAUGACAUAUGGUCUGCAAAAACAUGGGAGAGUAUCAGAAAGUGCUUGCCACAUGAUAAUAAAAAAGGCAGCAGAGUAAUAGUGACUACAAGAUUUCAAGCUGUUGGUGCCACAUGCUCCCAAGGAGAGAUUGAUUUUGUUCAUCCAGUCGAAUUUCUUAAUGAAGACGAGUCUAAAAGGUUAUUUAAGCGAAGUGUUUCUGAAUCCAAAAGCAUCAAAUAUAGCGAGAAAGAACUGGACCAAGUCACUGAGGAGAUAUGCAAGAUAUGCAGGGGUCUGCCUUUGGCCAUAGUUACCAUGGCUGGUCUUGUUGCCAGCAACCCGGACACACUCAGCAAAAAAUGGGAAGCAGUGUGCAAAUCAUUAUUUCCAGAGUCGGUGCCUUCUCUCACCUUGGAUGGUGUUACAAGGAUACUCGAGUACUGCUACAAUGAUUUGCCUGCAGAACUCAGGACCUGCUCGUUGUACCUGAGCAUAUUUCCUAAGGGUUCAAAAAUUAGUAGGAAGCGUUUGAUUCGGAGGUUGAUAGCCGAAGGUUUCGUUAGUGAGAAGCAUGGCUUGUCAGAUGAGGAAGUUGCAGAAACAUACUUCAAUCAGCUGAUAAAAAGGAAGAUAAUACGGCCGGUUGAACACAGCAGCAAUGGGAAGGUAAAAAGCUUUCAGGUUCAUGAUAUGGUUCUUGAAUAUAUUGUGUCCAAGUCAAGCGAAGAGAAUUUUAUUACUGUGGUUGGUGGCCACUGGCUGAUACCAAUGUCGACCAAUAAAGUCCGUCGACUCUCCGUGCAAAGCAGUGGUUCCGAACAUGGAAGUUCAACAAAACACAUGAACCUGUCACAAGUGCGAUCACUGACCAUGUUCCGGAGCCUGGACCAACUUCAUUUCCACUCUUUCAAUAAUGGGAUUUUACAAGUGCUGGAUCUUGAGGGUUGCAAGGGUUUGAAAGAGAAACAUCUGAAGGACAUGUGUAGAAUGCUUGUGCUGAAGUAUUUGAGCCUUCGGGGAACAGAUAUUUCCAAAAUACCCUCUAAGAUUGAGAAACUCGAGUACUUGGAAACUCUCGACCUAAGGGAGACUGAUGUCGGUGAGCUGCCAAAAUCUGCAGGGCAGCUCAAAAGAAUAAUCAACAUAUUUGGUGGGAAUAAAAACCCAAGAAGGGGGUUGAAGUUGCCUCAAGAGAUUAAUAAGGAGACAAUGAAAGCACUUCGUAUACUGUCGGGGAUCGAGAUUGAUGAGCAAUCAACAGGUGUAGAAGGCCUCCAUCAGUUGACAGGGCUGAGGAAGCUUGCCAUUUACAAGCUCAUAAUAUUGAAGGAUAGUAAAAUCUUCAAAGAAUUACGCUCUGCAAUCGAGUAUCUUGGCAGCUGUGGUCUGCAGACUCUGGCGCUCAACGAUGAAGGGUCUGAUUUUAUCAACUCACUGGACACCAUGUCCGCGCCUCCAAGAUACCUCAGCGCCCUUGAGCUCUCUGGCAACUUGGAUAGUCUUCCCAAAUGGAUUAGCAAACUAAGUAACCUCCACAAAUUGACCCUCUCUGUAACAGUUCUCCGAAUGGAUACUUUCGAGCUCCUCUGCGACCUGCCUUUGUUGUUUUCCCUCACCUUUUCGCUGAGUGCAGCGAAGCAGGAUGAGGCCAUAGAGGACAUACUUGAGAAGAACAAAUCGGAGUCCGGCGGGGAGAUCUUCGUUCCAAGUGCAGGAUUCAAGAGUCUAAAGCUGCUUCGCUUCUUCGCACCUCUAGUGCCAAAGCUGAGCUUCCCAGAAGAUGCAAUGCCAGCACUCGAGAGGAUUGAGAUGCGGUUUGAAGCCUUUGAGGGCCUUUUCGGCGUCGACACCCUGGAAAGCCUCCAGGAGGUGCACCUCAGAGUCAAUAGCGCAGCAGAUGAAAUAACCAACUUCAUAGUAGAAGAUUUGAAGGCCAUCAAGAAGCCGAAGAUAAUCGUGGAUCAUGUCAUCACCAGCUGAAAUGUGGCAUUCUAUUGGAGCACUUUUCUUACUCAUCAUCCAUCUUUCCCCUCUGUUUGUCGAGAUUACCGAUUUUAUUUGCGCCAUUCGUACUUCAAUAAAAACAGGAUGCUGCCGCAUUCCUGUACACCGCAAGACUCCUAUUGUUUUUGCUUUUGAAAUUCGCGCUGUAUUUCGUUAUGGGCUUGUAAGUUGGUAUCGGAGGAGUUGAUUUUAACUUGAAACUGCAAAUGUUGGUCAAAGAUGUUUUAUUAUUGAUCAUGAGAACCCCUUCACCAUGUAGCGAUUUGUGAUCCCCUCUGUCAAUGUUGGACGAACUCUGUAUUUUUUCCUGUCCUUGCUCUGUGCAUGCUGUGCUUUUUGAUUCUCUUGUUAAGUGUUGAUGCUUUUUGAGGUAUAAUAGAACUAGUUCCUGAAAUCUCAAGAUGAGGGUUUCGAUAGUUCCUGCAUAUCUGAACCUUUCUACAAUUUUUAAGUGCGCCAAUCAUUUUGGAUUGCCAAAAAAUACUAGAAGCGUAGCAUCUGAUAUAUCAAGUUUUUAUUUUCUGUCAACUAUGUGAUUCAGUGAAUUGCAAAAUACUCAUGGAUCCACUUUUUUUGCAUUGCAGAUUAGUUGGUUUGUUGCAUUGGUGGUCACAAUAUCUAGAAGAAGAAAAAGGCAUUGGUGGUCUGCAGGGAACAGGGUUGUGGUCGCAGGGGAAAGCUCUUCCUCUGCUAAAUCGGUUGGUUGUCUUACUUUAAUGUGCUUGGCAUUAAUAAAUUAGCAAAAGGAAGAGGCUAAGGGAACUUGAGGAGAUACUCAUGGCUGUAGCUGUUUGUCUACAAAAAUCAACAUGAUGCGUGUCAAUCUGAGGACACAGGUGAAUUGAAUUUGCACGAUCCGGUGGUUGUCUACAGCAUUGCAUUUUUAUUUUAUUUUCUUACAAAAUAU